UACAGAGGUCCCAGGCGUUGUUCGGAUUCAUUGGGCGUAAAGGGUGCGUAGGCGGCGCGGUAAGUCGGAUGUGAAAUCUCGGAGCUUAACUUCGAAACUGCAUUCGAUACUGCCGUGCUUGAGGACUGGAGAGGAGACUGGAAUUUACGGUGUAGCGGUGAAAUGCGUAGAUAUCGUAAGGAAGACCAGUGGCGAAGGCGGCUCACUGGUCCGGUACUGACGCUGAGGUGCGAAAGCGUGGGGAGCAAACAGG
rnacentral:rRNA from 1 species